UGUAUAUUUUCUUUUAUUUAUUUUUUACAGCAUUUCCAAAUUGUUUCUGAAAAUAGAAGGCUUAAAAGUGCCCCUAUUUUAUGAUUUUGACACUUCAAUGAAAUUACGUUCAUACGCAUGUGCGAGAAAAAACGUCUUUAAUAAGAACAAUAAAUGAUUUUAGAUUCUAAUCGACUUGACAUAUUAAAAAAGGGGGGUAGAGUGAAAGUGAGAAAAAAUUUAUUAUACUAAAAUAAAGUGAUUAUGGUGAACAAUUGUUGUAUCAAAGGCUGCAAGAAUAUUUGGCAACCAUAUAGCAAUGUAACUUAUCACAAAUUUCCAGUAAGAGAUGUGGAAAGAUUUGCAAAAUGGAUGUCAAUCGACCAGUUGCGAGACAUAAAAGUGACUUCAACAAAACGCAUUUGUAGUGAACAUUUUACUCCGCAAUCUUUUGAGGAAUACGGCGUACUGAAAAGAUUAAAAAAAGAUGCAAUUCCUACUAUUUUUGGAGACACUCUUUAUAAUAUAGAUGAUAAUCUCACAGAAGCAGAUGAUAUAGAAACACAUGAUAUUACAAUCUAUUUAGAUGAUAUAUGUGAAAAGCAAAUGGAAGUGUUGGAUGAGGUUUCAAAACCAGAUGCGCAAGAAGCCUCAGCAUUAAAUAAAAAAGAUAACCUUUCAACUUGCUGGCUGACUGGGUUUUUUGAAGUGGAUAAUAUUUUGGAUAAAAAAAAAUUCAUGACAUACGAGGAUAAGAUUUUUAAUGUAAAACAAAUUCAAGAAGGGAAAUUACAAAGCGAUAUUUUAAAAAUAGCAUUUCAAAAAAAUGUUUAUAUAUAAAAAGAAAAACGAAAUUGCAAUUUUAUCAAAUGACACAGAAUUUAAGAAUACGAAAUAAACAUUCUUGCCUAGAUGGAAAAUUAAAAGAAUGUUUAAAUAAAUGGCUUCUUCAAACAAAAGCAUUAGAAGAAUCAUUUUCAAGACUAAUUUUAUAAACAAAAACUUUGCAAUUAAAUUAUUUAUUCACAAACUCUUCAGAUUUUAAAAAUACGGGCACAGAAAAAAGUAUGCAUGUUUCUAUUCAAACAUCAUAUACAUAUUUUAUGGAACGUAAAAAAAUGUUACAUUUGCAGAAAAAAGUAAAAACAUUGCAACAACAACUAAAACGAAGAAAUUCAAGAAUUGCCAAUAUGCAAAAAAUUAUUUAUCAUUUAAAAAAAGCUAAUCUAAAUAAAAAAGAUGUAUAUAAGGUCUCAAGGACUGAUCUCUGUUCUAAUUGGAAGGAACACAGUUAUUGUUUUCGCAUUACAUGAGAAUUCCGAGAAGAUAAUUAUAAAAGGAAAAAAAAAGUUAUUUUUUUUAAUAUAUUAAAAAUCUUUAUUCAAUGAAAAGAUGAUGGAAUAUCAAUCUUUGAUUAGCAUUGCACACACAGAAUU